UACGUAGGGGGCAAGCGUUGUCCGGAUUUAUUGGGCGUAAAGAGCGUGUAGGCGGCCAUACAGGUCAGCUGUGAAAACUCGAGGCUCAACCUCGAGACGUCGGUUGAAACCGUAUGGCUAGAGUCCGGAAGAGGAGAGUGGAAUUCCCGGUGUAGCGGUGAAAUGCGUAGAGAUCGGAAGGAACACCAGUGGCGAAGGCGACUGUCUGGCCAGAUACUGACGCUGAGGCGCGAAAGCGUGGGGAGCAAACAGG
rnacentral:rRNA from 1 species